UACGUAGGGCGCAAGCGUUGUCCGGAAUUAUUGGGCGUAAAGAGCUCGUAGGCGGUCUGUCGCGUCCGUUGUGAAACUCGAGGCUCAACUCCGAGCCUGCAGUCGAUACGGGCAGACUAGAGUGCUGUAGGGGAGACUGGAAUUCCUGGUGUAGCGGUGAAAAUGCGCAGAUAUCAGGAGGAACACCGGUGGCGAAGGCGGGUCUCUGGGCAGCAACUGACGCUGAGGAGCGAAAGCGUGGGGAGCGAACAGG
rnacentral:rRNA from 1 species